GGAGGCGGCCGAGGCCGCUCUGGCUGGGACUGAGCCCAUGGCCCUGGGCUGCUAGGGGUGCAGGGCAGGAGCGAGCCGAGCCGAGCCGAGCCGUGCCGUGCCGUGCCGUGCCGGGCCGGGCCGUGCAGAGCCGGGCCGGGAGCGAUGCCGCUGCAGACGGAGAUCCUGAGAGAGGUCUGGGCUGCCGACAGCCCCAGUGAAGAGCCGGGGAGCCCCCAGCAGCACAAACCCAAACAGCACCGUCCAUGAGGGCAGAAGCUGAAGAAGAAGAGGCAGGAGCCCGGGCUGGAGCCCGAGGCCAAACCACGGCGGCCGCGGGUGAAGAAGCUGAGUGAGGCAGGGGCUGCAGAGGAGCCCCCAG